rnacentral:tRNA from 1 species
GUGGGUGUAGUUCAGCGGUUAGAACGCCUGGCUGUGGCCCAGGAGGUCGCGAGUUCAAAUCUCGUCACCCACC